rnacentral:rRNA from 1 species
CAGUAGCCACGGUAAUACGUAGGUGGCAAGCGUUGUCCGGAAUUAUUGGGCGUAAAGCGCGCGCAGGUGGUUUAAUAAGUCUGAUGUGAAGGCCCACGGCUCAACCGUGGAGGGUCAUUGGAAACUGUUAAACUUGAGUGCAGGAGAGAAAAGUGGAAUUCCUAGUGUAGCGGUGAAAUGCGUAGAGAUUAGGAGGAACACCAGUGGCGAAGGCGGCUUUUUGGCCUGUAACUGACACUGAGGCGCGAAAGCGUGGGGAGCAAACAGGAUUAGAUACCCCUGUAGUCCCUGUCUCUUAUAC